AGCAACAUGGCGCAGCGGAAGCGCGCCGGGCUCAUAACCCGGAGGGCCCUCGAUCGAAACGAGGUGUUGCUA
rnacentral:tRNA from 1 species